AUCACUUCUUGGCCUUUUGGCUAAGAUCAAGUGUAGUAUCUGUUCUUAUAAGUUUAAUGACACAUCAAAAGAAUCUUUCAAUAUUUCACUAGAAACAAAGAAUUUGGCAUGAACAUAU
ensembl:snRNA U2 U2 spliceosomal RNA